UACGUAGGCAGCGAGCGUUGUUCGGAAUUACUGGGCGUAAAGCGUGCGCAGGCGGUUAUGUAAGACAGUUGUGAAAUCCCCGGGCUCAACCUGGGAACUGCAUCUGUGACUGCAUAGCUAGAGUACGGUAGAGGGGGAUGGAAUUCCGCGUGUAGCAGUGAAAUGCGUAGAUAUGCGGAGGAACACCGAUGGCGAAGGCAAUCCCCUGGACCUGUACUGACGCUCAUGCACGAAAGCGUGGGGAGCAAACAGG
rnacentral:rRNA from 1 species